rnacentral:snRNA from 1 species
AUUUUUUUUUAAAUAAAAUCAAAACUGAGAACAGCAGCAGACAAGCAUGGAUAAGAAAUUUGCUGGGAUUGAAAACUUGAAACAGGCCCCUCAGGUUCGUGGCGCAGCAUGGCCCCUGCACAAGGAUGACACGCAAAUUCAUGAAGCGUUCCAUAUUUUU